rnacentral:lncRNA from 1 species
GGAAAUGGGGAAUGUGCCAAAGAGACAACAACCCGACCAUAGAAAAAAAAAAACAGCAGAAGGUCGCCAACAGGUCUUCAGUGUAGUAAGAAAUUCCCGCACCCGGAGGCGUCCUUCAGCUGGCCCCUAAACAAAUAUAUACUAGUUCAGUGAUAAUGAACGCCAUACUAAUUUCCAAAUUGUACACAAGAAACUAAAAUUAAAAUAAUACAAGACUAACAAAGGCCAGAGGCUCCUGACUUGGGACAGGCACAAAAAUGCGGCGGGGUUAAACACGUUUGUGAGAUCUCAACCCUCCCCCUAUACCUCUAGCCAAUGUAGAAAAGUAAACGUAUAACAAUACGCACAUUAAAAUUCAGUUCAAGAGAAAAAUGACAAUAAUACAUAAAUAACAACAGACUACUAGCAGUUAACUGACAUGCCAGCUCCAGACUUCAAUUAAACUGACUGAAAGAUUAUGAUUUCAUCAUAUGAACAUCAGGCACAAUCCUUCCCGUUAGGGGUUUAGUAUCAUACCAUCAUAACAUAUAUGAGAAGAACAUAACCCGUGUCAUGCCAACG